UUGUGGAGGAGGACGCCGAAGGUGGGGCUAAUGACUGGGGUGAAGUCGUAACAAGGUAGCCGUACCGGAAGGUGCGGCUGGAUCACCUCCUAACAGGGAGACAACAAAAUGUUUAAUAUUAUUAUUUUGUCACCUUAGGUCGAUCGGUAUCUCACGUUUUUAAUUUAUUAAGAAUUUCAUUUCCUAAGUUUUUCUAGGUCACACCCAUUAUUUUUCCUGGGCCAUUAGCUCAGGUGGUUAGAGCGCACCCCUGAUAAGGGUGAGGUCCCUGGUUCAAGUCCAGGAUGGCCCAUAUCUCUAUGUUGGGGGUAUAGCUCAGUUGGUAGAGCGCCUGCUUUGCAAGCAGGAUGUCAGCGGUUCGAGUCCGCUUACCUCCACUGAUUACCACCUCUUCCAUAUUCGGUAGAAAGGAAAUGUUUUGAGUUGUGAUCAAUUUCUGAAGGACUCUAGCUUCCUAAUGAAAUCAUUAAGAUGCUGGACUCAUUGAAUUAAUUUCAUUGUUUUCAGAGAACCUUGACAACUGCAUAGAUUAUUUUUAAAGACAAUAAGCAUCAUUAAUGAUGCAGAUUUAUUAUUUGUGCAAAUGCAUUAAUAACAAUUCUAUUAAGCUGAUGCUUCAAUUUUGAAGUUAUUGGUCAAGCUACAA
rnacentral:misc_RNA from 1 species